GCCACCCAGCUCCCACCCCACAGGGGCUGAGCAUCAGAUGUGCAUGGCAGCGUUCUGUCUGCAGGGCUGGAGCCUCAUCCACACAUCUGUCACACUCCUCUAUGGCUGCCACCUUCUUCCAUGGGGCUGGAACCCUCUUUUAUGGUUGGCACCUUCCUCUAGCACUGGCACCCAGAGGAUUUUGGUUGUCCACAUCUGGCAGGUGUCCCCAGACCAAGCUGCAGAGGUGACUCUUGAGCAGCCAGGCAGGUGCAAGCAGCCACGGGGACUUCAGGAACUGUGGGGACAGCGUGAGGGUGGGCAGGGACAGCAACGAGGCAGGGAGCAGAUGACAGCACUGGGGAGGAAAUGCUGAGCGAGCGAUGAGCGGGGUGGCUGGGGGGGCAGGAAGGGAGGAGCGGGCAGGGAAGGGCUUCACAGUUAUAUACUUGUCCCUCUCGGUCCCCGCGGCCUCCGAGCAGCGCGGCCAUGGCUGAGGGCCAGAAACGACGGGGCUUCAAGAAAUUCAAGUUUUUCAGGUUCAAAGGCUUUGGGAGCCUGAGCAGCAUCCCCCGCUCCUUCACCUUCCGGCGUGUCCCUGUGGACCCCAGCUCUCCUGACAAUCUCAGACCACAUGUCCCACCUCCCCACGGCUUCCCGGGAGAGCCCUUUGACAGCACCCAGGAUGAUCUCAGCACCAUGCCCAAGAGCCCUGGCCCCUACGCCCAGUCGUCGAACAUGUACUCCCACAUGGGCACCAUGCCCAGGGUGAAUCUGGGCAAGGCAGGGAAGAGCCUGGGCAAAGACAAGAGUAGGCAGAACUGCUGGGAGAAAGGGACUCCCAAGAACAAAGCCCCCCAGGCAGCCCCACUCCCCAGCCUCAAGUGCCCUGAGAUGUCCAGCACCCCUGGCCCAGGCACAGACUCACCCUUGGCUGCUGGAGAAGAAGAGCAGGAAGAGGAAAAAGCUGAACCUGGGGACACCGUGGAGGCAGCAAUGGACAGGACAGACCAGGAGCCUGUGGGAAAUGUCUCCUGCCCUAGGACAGAGUCACCGAGCUCCAGCCUGGCUCCAAACCCCACCCAAACCACAAGUCCUGACACAGCAGGUGGAGCAGAGACCACUGGUGGGGAUCUGCUGGAAAAGGGACAAGAGCAUCCUGACAAGAUCUCCCCAGACAGGUAUAGCCCUUGAGGUUUGCUCUGCCUU
rnacentral:lncRNA from 1 species